UCCCUGGUAGUCCAGUGGUUAAGACUUCACCUUCCAACGUAGGGGGUGCAGGUUCAAUCCCUGGCCAGGGAG
rfam:Ovis aries breed Texel chromosome 3, whole genome shotgun sequence.